rnacentral:lncRNA from 1 species
AAACUGACCAUCCAACUUAUCGUCCCAGUUCAUGUCACCACAAAAAAUCACAUUUGAGUUCUUCUUGAGAAGGUUGAUGGCCUCCUUUGCCUGAUCCACGCCUUCCUUGCUGAACAUCUGAUCCCAUUUUGGAGGUGCUGGACAAGGACUCUCUAGAUGGCUUGUGGCAACAACUAAUGACUUUUUUCCUGGAACUUCAAGCUCAGCAAUGCAAAGUUUUCUCCCCAUUAUUGAAUUCAUAAAGGGUUUAGUGCUGAAAGAUUUUACUGGUAGUUUGCUUAACUGCAAACAAGGGGGCAAUAUUAAUAAUAAUAAUAGAAAAAUUAAUUUAGAAAAAAAAUGAAUGCCAAUAUCAAGUCUUUAAGUUGGAUCGCUGACAACUACAAGGCAAUGCAAUACAUGAAAUCCAGGUAAGAUAUUAUUUGGUCCCGUGCUUUACAAAGACACUGACUUUAUGGAACUGCUAAAAUUUAGUUAUAGGUCAAACAUAUUCCGUGAUCUGUAAGAUAAUCAAGGGUCGGUCCAAUAAAUGAAACACUAUCACUCAACCAAAGAAGGAAAACCUGCAGAAGUUCAUUUAACAGCCAACAUAAAACCAUGUUUCCAUGAUUCUCCAGUUCGGGGGAGAGAGUGUACAACAAAGAGAAUUAUCGGGAUCCAUACUUUGUCAGUAAGUAAAGUAAGCCAGAAGCAUACUAACAAGCAGAAUCACCAUCCAGCACAUUUCAAAACCAUACCUGCAUGCAAAAGUAUCCUCUUGAACUUGCUAUUUCAGAAGAAACAUAGCAUUGAUAUGCUUUCCACCAGCUGGAUUGCUGAAAUAUGUCAUAUAUAUCUGGAAUAACCUCCUGCAGGAAAAAAAAUGGCAAAAAUUAAGAUGAAAGUCAACACAGGGAGAUCCAAUUUCAAGAGUAGGAACAAGAAAAACCUGUAAACAAAUGACAUCUGGUGAAUGUAGUUGAAUAAGUUCACCAAGCGCUUCCAUCCUCCUAUGCAUCUCCAGGUCUGCUCGGAACCAAACAUUGUAGCUCAAAAUCUUUAAGGAACCAAACACUGCUAUUGAAUUUGUAUCCUCUGCCACAAAUUUAAGAAGCUUUCAAUCACAUGCAAUGAACAUACAUAACUGAAACCUUUUAAUAAAUUCCCAUCUCCGUAGUACUAUAACCAAGGCCCAAAAGGUACAAUGAUAGACCAAAUAUACAUAGCAAGCAGUCAAAUUUCAUGAUGGUAACACGAAUGCUAAAAAGCAAAAAGCAGCAACUUUACAAAACCAAUGCUUAUACAUAACCUCAUCAAUCCAUCAUUAUGGUUUCAGACAGCAUAAAUAAACUCACAAAGCAAAAGGCCAGUAAAUCGAAAUAAAUAAAUAUAAUUAAAUCAACUUGAACUACAAAUAUCCCACUUGCUUGUUAAAACAUAGACUCCCUUGUUUGAUGCCCUAGCUCCUUGAAACACAUCCAAUUUCACACUAGCCCCAUCACUUUCAUCUGCAUAUACUAAAACAUUCAACAACAAAAUCUAGAAGACUAACAAGCAAAUAAGAACUAACCUUUAUGAACAAACAUAUAGAAAAGCUGGCUAGAUGAUUAUUGAGGACAACACAACAAGCUUAACAUGUGACUGACAACAGGCAAUGGCAUUCAUGUUCACAUUUUUCAUCUCUAAAUAUAUAAAUAUUUAUCAGGAAGUACUUUAUUAAGUAGAGAUUACUGAAAUCUUUUUAAUGCAAUCCCAUCUCCCUAGUAAAAUGGAGGACAAAAAAGCAUAAUAAGCAACACACAUGAACCUAGCAUAUCAGAGCAAUCAAACUGAACAUUAUGAACAAAACCAGCAACACAAUAAAAUUAUUACUUAACAUAACUUCUCUAAUCCACCACUAUCAAUGAAGACAACAUAAAUAAAUAAUAAAGCAAAAACCCUUAAAAAAGACUAACUAGAACCAAAAAAAUUCUCCCUUGCGACCCGCCCUUUAGAACUGUGACUCCCUUGUUUGAAGCUUUAACCCUUGAAAAUUGAAACCCACCCAAUUUCUCACUAUGGCCAUCACCCCCAUCUGCAUGGAUCGGCACCAAUUCAUUCCAGAAACAAAACUAAACAGGCCCAACAAAACCCAAAGGACAAAGAACAUUACAAGCAACUCACAUUGAACCUCACAUACACAAUAAAGCAGUUAAACUAACCUUGUUAGAAUGAAAAUGGCAACAAAACUACAACCUCGUAAAUUUCCAUUAUGAGUAGCACUGAAUGGAAAUAAAAUCACAGAGCAUAAACCUUUAAAAAGAAAGAAAGAAAAAACCUUGAGCCACAAACAUGACAUACCCUUUAAAACAAUCACUCCCUUGUUUGAUGCUUUAAUCCCUUGGAAUCCACCCAAUCUCGCAGAAGCCCAUCACUUCCAAAAGGAUUCACUUCUCUCUCUCUCCCACGAUCCCAACCACCUCUCCCUGUCUCCACCACCACUACCAUACCCACCGCGGUAAUCGUUUCGUGGAACAUCCCAGCGUGAUCCACCACCAUACCCAGGACGAUCAUUACCCGACGCAGGCCCGCUAAAGGCAGCAGCCGGUGGAUCUGAAGAUGGCGCGCGGUUGCGGAGAUGAGGAGGGACAUAUGUGGAUCGAGUAGGGGCAUUUCCUGCAGUACCUACACUUUCAUUGUUAGCAGAAGAUCCAGCAUUUGUGCUCUCAUCUGCAGAAUUCGAAGCCAGAUCAGCUCAUGAACUCCUCGUAUUCAUCACAAUUCUUAACCUAAACGCAAAAACCCCAACACAAAAUUCCCUUUCUGAAAAAAAUCAACUUCUACUUCCACGAAUCAAACUUUACGCAAUUCCACUUUAAAAUCUUGAUAUCACAAUUUCAAUUCAACCCUGAUCUGAUUCACCAACUGUCAAAAUUGAAAUGCAACAACUCUAAUCCAAAAAACAAACAAUAAUCCUACCGUUUUUCUAGAGAGAACCUGAGAAGGAAACGGAAAGGAAUGAGAGAGAGAGAGAGAGAGAGAGAGAGAGAGAGAGAGAGAGGUGUUGGAAGGGAGGGAAGGAUGGUGUGUUAGGAAUGGAGAAGAUCGAAGAAGACAAAGAAACUCUAAAAUUAAGGAUGAAGAAGAUAGAGAAGGAAGAGAUUUUAUUAUAAAGAAACGCAAAAAUAUCUAUUGGUGGGGCUUCCAAUCAAAUCAUAUCAUUAUAAUCACAUUACAAAAUUAUAGUUAUAAUUACAAAUUAAAAGAAAAAAAUAUGUAAUUAUAAUUUUAUAAGAAACUCUUACAAAAUAGAUUACCAGAUUACUGACAAACUUGCACCUCCCCAAUCGCAUUCAUUCAGAAUACUCAGCUUCUGCAAUUCUGGGCAAUCACCAAAGAACUGCACAGAUCAUCUGGAAGCAGACAGCAUGGCAAUUUAACUUUUUUCAGAAUGGGUUUAUUUUGGAGUUUCAGUUAAGUGUAUUGGACAAGAGAGAAGUUGAUGAGGUAAACGGCUCAUCAUCAUAGUUAAGGACAAGUGAACAGUCCUGUACUUGACAGCUGGGCAAUUUAAAUUUGCGCUUGAUUUCACAAAUAAAUCAACUCAACAUAAAUUAAAUUCAAGAAAAGAAUUAAAUAAUUAUUUUAUUUUUAUAUACAAAUUAUAUUUUAAAUAAAAAAUAUAUCUAAUUAUAUAUUUUAAUAAAAUUAAAUAUUUAUACAUAGUUGCUUAUUACUUUGACCAUAACUUUAAAAAUUAUAGUAAAAAAUUGGGUUGAAAACAUCAUAAAUUUAUAAUAUUUUCAAAUCUAAUUUUUUCCAACCUUAGUUAAGGUUUAUAAAUAUGCUACAUACCAAGUAGCUUAACAUAUAUGUUUUUUAAGAAAAUAAACGGCUUCGUAGUAUUUAUGAACCCAAACAUAAUGAAUUGGAUUCUUGUUCAAUCUCAUUUAGAGUCCAUUUUAUUAGAAUUUUGUAAAUUAAUUUUAGUUAUUUCUGUUUAGAUUUAUUUGUCUUGAUAUUUCGAAGAGAAAUCGUAUGUUUGAUUGAAAUUAUCUUUGAUUUUUACUAAAUAUUGAAUCAAGAUGUUUGGAGAUUAAUAUGUUUGGAGAUGGAGUUGGCUAGUUGACCUCAAGAAAUCUUCCAGUAUGUAACAAGAAUCAAGAAAGCAAUCCCAUGGACUCUACCAAGGUUGUUAAAAUCGCGAUUCAACUCGUAAAAUUGUACGUUUUUACGAGUUAAUAUAGGCUAAAUCGUACAUAAAACUCGGAAAUGAGUAAAAUCAGGUCAAGAUUGGGUAAAAUUGUUAAAAUCGGGUGAAAUCGUGUAAAAUCGCGAUUUCACCACCGAUUGAACGAGUUUGCCCGCAGGAAAUUUUAAUUCAAUGUUGUUGCCACGUGUCGCCCUCUUAUUGGCUCUAACAGAUCGAAGGCAACCUCUUGUUCUUCCCCGGUUCGUCCAUGUAUUUCUUUCCUGGAGUGCCCUGUUUCUGGUGUAGUGGCUGCUGAAGAUAGACCUCUGGAGUUGCUGCUUCUGGAGGCGACGAAACGGUUGUGACGCUGGUGGUGACCCUUGUCUACUGCUUUCCUUGGUCUUCCUUAUGUUCUUCCUUUGCUCAGGACAUCAACUAUGGUGAUGAAGAUGUUAGGUGUUGUCGGUUGAAUGGACGUUUGCUCCCCUGUUUCUGUUUUUCUGCAUGCGUCUUCCCUAUUUUUCCUUUCCUAAGCUGUUGGUUGUGAUAUUAUUGGAAAACAAAGACGCAGAAAAGAUGGAGAAUCUAACCCUUUUGGUUUUGUCAGGUGGAGAACCAGGAGGGAGUGGUCAACUUUGAUGAGAUCUUGCGUGAGACAGACUCCUUCAUGGUUGCUCGUGGUGAUCUUGGAAUGGAGAUUCCAGUUGAGAAGAUUUUCCUAGCACAGAAGAUGAUGAUAUACAAGUGCAAUAUUGUGGGAAAGCCUGUUGUUACUGCUACUCAGAUGCUUGAGUCCAUGAUCAAGUCUCCUCGGCCAACCCGUGCUAAAGCAACUGAUGUUGCCAACGCUGUCCUUGAUGGUACUGAUUGUGUUAUGCUCAGUGGUGAGAGCGCAGCUGGGGCCUAUCCAGAGCUUGCAGUCAAGACCAUGCGCCGAAUAUGUAUCAAAGCAGAAUCUUCCCUUGACUAUGCUGCCAUCUUCAAGGAGAUGAUAAGAUCAACUCCACUUCCUAUGAGCCCAUUGGAGAGCCUUUCAUCAUCGGCUGUUCUCUUCUCCUUUGUCCAGUCUCUCCUUCCUCCUCCUGUUCGUUCGUCUCCUCUCUGCUUUUGCCUGGUGCUGGAGUUUGAUGACGAAGACAAUGGCGGAGAUGUGUUGAUUGGCCAAAACGACGUCGUUGUGUCCUUGGGCAUGGCUGUUUUUCACUUUAGUCCCUAAACAGUUUAAACUUAACAAUUGGGACCCUAAUAAAAAAUAAUUGAUUUUUUUUAAUGUAUUUUAAAAUUCCUUAUGAUUUUUUUACGAUCUGAGUUUGUAUAAGGCUUUCCGUGCCGUGUUAAAAUCGCGAUUUUAACAACCUUGGACUCUACUGCUACCAAGAUGAAUUAAAUUGUUCGGAAGACUUCAAGAAUACCCCUAACUAUAUUACUAGUUUCAAUUUCAUCCCCAAACAAAAUUUUAUUCCUUAAAUUUCAGUCAUUUUCAAUUAAAUCUUUCCAUUCAUGUUUGAUCAUGACUUCCAUUCAAAUCAUAACUUUCUUUUAAUAUUUUUCAUCAAUUAUAACUCUCUUUUUUUUUACCAUUGUUACUAUGUUCCUUCCUUGAGUUUAUAAGAUUUUUUUUAUACAUGAUUUUCUAAUAUUAUGGAACGUAGGAGUAAGAUCAAGCUUUCUACGAUUUGGAGAAAAUUAUUGUUCUAUUAGAAGAACUUCAUUGAAAAAUCCAAAUUAUUUGGGUAUAAAAUUAAUAGAAAAGGUUGUUUGGGGAGACAAUCGACACUACUCCAAUAAUUGGGGGGUAUAAUUGAAGUUUUCCCUAACUUGUUCGUUGAUCUAUGUGAAUUCCCCUAAAGUGGCCUUGUGAACCGACAAGUACUUUAGUUAAUUUGCAACGUGCUCUUAAAGACAUAGAGUAAAGGUUUGAAACAAGAAGUGGAGCUUUAUGGUAACUUCAUCUAGAUUAACAUAGCUGGUUCUUGAAGUGAUGGAAGUUGCAGAAGCUGGCAUGGCAAUCUAGAGAGAGACGUUAGAAACCUCUGACUUUCUAGCCCACCAGUACAGUGCACUCAGCUGCUCGCCAGAGUGUCCUUCUUUAGAGUUCGGACUUGUAGUUAGGCCUACACACUCGACAUCAUUUUGAUUUUGAUUUUGAUUUUGAUUGGAGUAUGGUUUAUUUUUGUUUAAUUAAACAUACCAUUUUCACCUCUCUUUUUUAGCAAUCCCAUUUCGACACAAGGCAUAUAUACUCUUUGAGGAAAUCUUCUCUCUGUGUGUGUCUAUAUAUACACAUAUAUAUAUACACCUUUAUUUUACAUUUGAUCAAAUCAUACCUUCUAUUUUAAAUUUAGUAAAAAUCAACCACUAAAAAUCAACCACUCUAUUUGUAAUAUUCGAAGACAAUUAGACAUCUUUUGUUCAAUCUUUUCAUGUCAUGUGGUUUUUAUUGGACCAUUUGCUAGUAAUAAAAAGUUGGACAAAGAAACCCAAAUCACUUUCGAUUGGAAAUGGUUUUGCCCACAUCAUAGAUUACAAGAAAUUAAAAUAAAAAAAAUACUAAGCAAGAUCAGAAAUCCUGUAGAUAAGAGUGCUUUCACUGUAGAUUUAAAAGUGUUUUAUGUUGAAUUUUUUUUUAUCUCGGGAUGUGUUUGGUUUAAUUUCUUCUCAGGUUUUGUAUGUGCGGUUGAGUUCUUGGCAACGUGGCUUCGUUGUUAUCAUAAUAUAUAUUAUACUUUGUGUUUUUGUCUCAAAAUAUUGUUAAGGCCAGACACCAACAUUCAGUUUUCCUCUCAUAUGAAUCUUCCCUUUCGACCAAAUAUCACCAAACCCUUCACUGGCCAUUGUUAUGCAUCACCAAACACAUUGCCUCUCUGUGUUAGAAAAAGGGUGGGGCUUUUUCAUUCGAGGAUCGCUUGUCAGCCAAGGAAGAAAGGUUUUUGAUCUCUUCUGUGCUUUGCUUUUAGUUUUUUUUAGGGUCAAUUGGCACGAGUAAUAUUUUUAAAACAGAAUUGUCUUCUACGGUGGUGUGUGCCCUUUCGCUUUCUGUUUUAAUAACCCAGAUUUUACAUGAUGAAUUCUGAUGAAGGACUCCAUGAUUGACAAGACAGCCAUGAGCAGUAGAUGAAGGCUACUUUUCAACUCGAAAGCCUUGGGGAAGUUUCUUGAUUCUUGCUGACAUAAUGGGAUAGUAUAUUAUCAAAAUAGUGUACUUGCAAAAGCUUGAAACUCAUCCCUUAAGAAGGAAAGAUUUAGACUAUACAUUUGAAGUUAUAGCACCUAAUCGAACCAUUGUGCAGAAUAUUGUGUUUCAACGCCCUUAGUAGUUCCAGCAACCUGCAAUGAUGCUUGAAUAAUUGCUAUCACAAUAACAUUUGUUCAUUUUCAUUCAUGUGCACCUUUAUACAUGGAUUUUCUAUAGUUUUUUCUUUUCUUUUCUAAACAUCCAUGGUGUUCAAUUAUGGAGUAUUAAGCGAAAAUUGAAUUUUUCAGGGGCAAAAUUCUUAAAGCAUCGAAGGAUUGGGCAGAGAGAAAUAUCCAAGUCAUUGUUGUUACUGAUGGUGAGUGUAUCUUCGGGCUUGGGGGUCUUGGCUGCCAGGUAUUGAUGCUCAUAAAUUUAUUUACAAAUUGGAUGUGCAAACCACAUCUUAUCUCCUAAGGAUGCAAUGGUUUUACAUUCGUUAAGGAUUGGGGAUUCUGGUCGGAAAACUCUCUCUAUAGACAGCAUUAGGAGGAUUAGUUGCCUUUGCAGUAAGGAUAAAUCUGCUAUCAAAUGUACAACAGUUUCAUUUACUUAUUUUUCUUCUAUUAUUUAGACACGCCUCAAUCACUGCGUUACUAGAGCUAUUAGUUGUCCUUUGCUAUUUAGUUACUAAAACCUUCCAACUGUAUUCAAUACAUACAGUGCUUGCUUGUAGCCAUUGAUGUUGGCACAGACAAUGAGAAGCUGUUGAAUGAUGAGUUCUGUAUUGGUUUUGGACAGAGGAGGGUAACUAGACAGGUAGAGUAAUUUUACUUUCUUCCAUUUCCAAUCGACUGAUAUUUCUUCUUUUCUUUUCUAGAUUUUAAAUCAUUCCAGGUCUCAAGAUUUGUGCUUGUUAUUUAUUGAUCUUUCUUUUGAAUAAUAUUGCUUUUGUAUUAAGUGAUGUGGACUGAAUUCUUUCUGGUCGAGCCAAUGGUUAAAGAAGAUCACUUAAAUAUUGCAAUCUCCAACUCCUAGGAUCCUUGCAUUCAAAGUCUUCCUCCCCUUAACUCUUGCAGUCCACUUCAGUGCAGCUUUGUCUUAAAAUCUUCUUUUUGUGGUCGAACUGAUUAACUUACUUGGUUCUUGGCUAAAUGGGUUGUAGACCAGGUGCAUUAUUUUAAAACUUGAUAAGGAAUAAACUGAGAAAAAUGGUACUAUUAUUCUUGAGUAGUUUUAUGGUGUUGCCAGUUGAACAUUAGCUAAUACAGAUGAGGGGCUCGAAGGACAACCACAGAAGAACAACAAAGAAGAGAAGGAAAUAGAAUUUAAUGAGAGAAAUACUGCAGUUUAAGUUGGCAGGUGCUUUUUUUUAUUAUUAUUAACGUGGAUGUUCCGAUUAAUUUGUGCGUACGUUAACUAAUUUCAAAGAUUUUAAAAUUAAUGAUUAUAUAAGUCUCUAUUAGCUAUGAAAUGACUCAAAUUCAUAAUCAUUAAACACUAAAUAUAAGAAUUAUACAGUUGAAUUACUCCUUGUAAUGAGGUUGGGUGCAUUUUAAUUAGUUAAAUUGUUGUGUUGGUCUCUUUUUUCUUCUUUUUUUUCCUGUCAUUUCUUUCCACUAAUUCAAUGUGCAGUGCUGCAUGAAAUGUUUGGUCUGGUCGAUAUUGGUUAAAUGUGGUGGUAUUUAAUCAUCAAACUUGCUCUAUUAGUAUGGUGUGAGCAAUUACACGAUGCCUUUGAGUGAAUGAAAAAACACUGAGGCAUUCAUGAAUUUUUUUUUUUUUUUAAAUCAUUGACUUUUUAGCGAGUGUUUUUUAUUAUUAUUAUAUUAUUAAAUAAAAUAUAAAAGAACGAAGUAAUUAAACAAGGCGAGGUUCAUGACCUGAGGCCUGUAUUUAACAGAUCUCAAUAUUUAAAAAACAAAAGCGAAUGCAUUUUGGAUUUUUUAAAAAAAUCUUAUUACUGCUUGAAAAAGCAUUAAUGCAUGCACGAAACUUUUUUUAUGCGUCGAAAGGUAAUAUGUGGUGGCGGGAAACCUAUCUAGUAAUUUUCUAUAAUAUUAAGGAAUUAGCCUUGCUGGAAUAAAAAAAAGGUAAUCUCUUCUUUGAUUUUCUAAGUUUGAUGUGAACAUUUUAAAGCAAUUCAUUUGUUCUAAAUGUACAAUAAUGAUAUUUUCAUUAAAAAUUCUAAGAUACAUGAAAAUAAAGUUUUUUUGAUGAUUUGGUAAUGUGUCUUAUUAUCUAAUCAAUUCUCCGGCUUGAUGUAGAAAGCUUAGUAACUACAAAACAGUUAUAUUUUCUAUGAAUUUAAAGAUUUUUAGAUUCUCAAGUCAAUAACUACGAUAACUUAGAGAGAGUCAAAUAAAUAUGCAAAAGAUAACUAAAUUACAAUUAAUAAAGUCAGAGAGAGUCAAAUAAAUAUGCAAAAGAUAACUAAAUUACAAUAAUAAAGUAGUUUGUUUUAGUUUUGGUAUAUGUAAUCAAUGCUUUUUUAUAAGAGAAAAUGAUAUCAUUUAUAUAUGUUGAGAAUGGAGAAAUUAUUAAUUUUUUAUCAUUGUGGUUUAUAAAGUAUUUAUACCUCUUAAAUCUUAUCAUUUUAUUUAAAUGAGAGGGCUGAAAAAUCAUCUCACCUUGAAAACAAUAAUGAAAGAAUGCUUGUUUUUGCAUGUUUAUAGAUUUUAAAUUGUACACAUUCUAGGCUUACAUUGAACAACCUUUUUUAUAUUUUAUAUGUUUUUGUUAGGAUAAACUAAACAAUCUUUUUUAUAAUAGUUUUAUAAACUAAACAACAUUACUUACUAGUCUUAUAAUAUAUUCAACAAACUUUUGAUUUACAUAGUUUAAGUAUAAGCUUAGAAAAAAAAACAACUUUUAAUUAAAUAGUUUUGUCUUUGUUUCCCUUUUCAUGGUGCCUUUUUGCAAUUUCUUUCCUCUCUCAGUCUUCAUCUACAGUGCUAUUUUAUACAUAAUUCUCUCUAUUACUAUUAAAAAAAUAAUGAUAACUAUUUAAAUAUAUAAUAAGAGAUGCAAAGUGUUUUUAUACGAAGACAGUGGCAUUCAAUUGUCUGAAGAAAGAGGGGAAAAAACAUCACAAGCAGAGAGCACUUCUUGCUUCGGGGUACCCCAUGCUCAACGCUGUUUGCUUCAGUUUAACAAGAUUUUUAUGCCUUAGACCGAGUCCUCGGCUAAACCAGGUUUUAGGAAGAGGAGGUUUUAACCACAGAGAGAAAGAAAAUGCAUGUACUAUGCAAUAUCUAACAGCCAAAAAAAAAGAGUGUAAAAUCAUGAAUCUGAAAUCAGAAGACAAGCAAUUAAAGCUUAUGCAUCAAUGAAAUAAACAAAAAACAUUAAGAUACAACAAAAUCCAGUAUAGAUAGCAGAAUCGGACGAAAAAAUGUUUGAAGGAAAUUGAAGUACAACAUUAGAAGGAACUAAAUACCCCUAUUGAACUGCUACAACUCAGUUACAAAUAUAGCACUGAUCUAUAACACUACUGCAGAAAUAGAAGUGUAAGAGCACAAGUUAUUUUAAUUGUUCAACACAUGGAAUUUUGUGUCAAAACUCAAAAUAGUAUGUGCAUGGUUCACAUGUAAAUGAUUUCGAAUUUUGGUCCUCUAGGCUCUAGCGAGCAUGGAUGUCUUAUUCUGGUUCAACCUGCCACCUGAAAUAUACACCUUCUCCGAAACUGUUGAGACUCUGAAUAAAAUCCUGACAGCAUGCAAUUCCUCCUCAGUUGCAUCAAAUGAGUGGAUCUUGACGAUCUUGAGUUGUGUCAAGAAACAAGGAGGCACUGGAUCCAAUGCGAGUUUUUAAAUUUCGAAAGAUACCCUGCAAAUCAACCAAACAUUUCAAACUAAAUAUCGAAGCUUAACCCCAGAUAACCACAGUAGAACCUAUUUGGUGGUUAGAAAAUAUAUCAUACCAUUCGGAAAUCAAGACAGUCAAGAUAAGGCAAUUUCUGUAGGAAUCUAUGUGGUGUUCUGGAAGAUAAAUCCACACAGUUCCCCUUCAAUUCAAGAUGAGUCAAUCUCUGAAACACUGGAAUAUCUAUUUCUUCUGCAUAAGCAAGAGCCUAGAAAUCCAAAACAAAAUAGCGAGAAAUUCAUAAUUCCAAUAGAAAAACUCCAUUUUGUUUAAUAUGACUUCAAUCUUUAAAAAGAAGUAGAGCAAAACAACCUUGUAUUAAUAAGAAGCACUGUCCUAAUGAAAUAAUUAACUGACUUCUAUUCCACCGGAAACAUAUAGCACCAAGUGUUUUUUUUUUUUCUUUCAUAGGCCAUGGAAUGCAUGAAAACAAUUAAUAAUAAUAGGCAUACAAGAGAACCAGAACCAGCUGACUUAUAAUCAAGAAACCAAAAUCAAAACCAUGCCAUUGUUUCUUCAAUGCAAGAAAACUCCACUUUGAUAGUAUCAUUAAGGACCGUAGUAGUAGCUAGCAGCAUCUGAAAAUACAAAAGCCCUGCCCGUGUAUAAUUGACAGAGAGAGAGCUGCUCAAUCAAAGGCUACAAUUUUUAUUUCAUUUAUACAAGUUUUCUGUACAUUGAUUCAUUUACAUAAUGAGUCCAGCUUUCAAAACUCACUGAAUAAGAUGAUUCUGGGCAAUCCGUAAAUUGAUACUAGGGAUGACAAUGUAGAACAUUUAAUUAACGUUGCAGUAACAAGAAACAGUUCAUAUCAUUUCGAUCCAAAAAGUUCUAUACAAAAUCUGUAACAACAUGCUCUGCAAGCUGUUCCGAGCCUUAUCGUCCAGCUAAAAUCGUCACUUGACUUGACGGACCUGAUAUUGUUAAAAGCACACCAUAUUAAUGAUCACUAGGCAAGACAAGAAGCUCCAACAUCUUACCGUCUUUUCUCACUUUCUUCUCCUUGAUAUAUGAUAACCCAGGUAUUGCCUCCUUACCAAUCAUGUCAAUUAUACUGAUCUUGAGAAGGGCAAGCAAGCAAGGUAACAAUGUAGAUUAAUUAUUUUUAUCUGCUAGCUUAACUUUGAAGCUUCUGUUUUUCCUCUGUUGCUUGCUCUAACGAUUGAUGGUUUGCUUAAUAUCUUGAUUAUCAACAAGAAUCAGCUCUAAUAUCAACAAGAAUCAGCUCUUUGCUAGAAUUCCUGGUAUGUAUUAUGUAUUAUCUUGAUGGCUUUAAACUUAAAAAAAAAAAUGCACAUAUUAAACUGUUGCUUUUAAUGUGAUAUAUGUAGAUCAAUCUCUUUUUUUAAUCUAUGCUCUUAGUCUUAUAAGUUUUAAAAGAAAAGCUACAUAUAGAUUUUAGGGUGAGAGGAAGCAGGAUUAGGUAUAUGGUUGAAUAAAUUUUGAAAACAUUUUUUUUUCCUGUUUUGUAUAUCUAUUUUUGGGUUCUAUUGGUGGUUUAUCUGGACAAGUGUUGGUCUCUUGAUUCUCUCUUUUUUUCUCUUGCUUCCGAAAAGGACACGCGAAAAGGACAGGAUCUAUUUAUUUUUUUCUCUUGCUUCUAGUUUUGCUUCCACAUGUUGUCGCUGGCCUGGGCCAUAGUGGCCUCUUUAACUACUUUCGUUGAAUGAUAAAUCCUUUCGUUGUCCUCUUCCAAUUUGCUCCAUAUUCAGUGUUUUUCGUUCUUUUAUUGGUUAUUUAGAUCGUGUCCUUUUCGGGACCAGUUAAAUCUUCCACUUUUUUCUGACUCGACAUGAUUUUCUCAUAUUUAUCAUCUAAUCUAAUAGUGUUAUAUUCUUGACAUUAAAUAAGCCGUACCUGACAUUGCAACAGUUUUAAAAUUAAUCCUUCAAUUAUAUAUAUAUAUAUAUAUAUAUAUAUAUAUACAAACAUAUUUCUAACCUCUAGUUCUUUUAAAUAAAAAUAUCUUGUUUAAAGAAUCGUCAUCUAAUAUUAUAAUGAUUAGAAACCCUAACUGGUCAACAGAGAUUCUAUGAUACGAGACUGGUUAUGUAAAAGAGAAAAUAUUAUCACCCCUUAAAUAUUUUGCUUGAGACAGACUGCAUUGCUUAUUUUGUCUUAAAUUGCUAAAUAUUUAUUAGUUUAUACUAUGAUGGUUUACUAAUAAUAUUCUUGACUCUUGUGCUAGUGAAUAUUCAACUACGGAUAAUUUCAACUCUAGCGUUGGUAAAUAUUACAUAGCUAUAAAAUAAAUUAGAUCAAUACUUUUGAAUUUUCUGACUCUAAUGCUAGUGAAUAAACAAAUAAAAUAAAUUUAUUUUUAAGCAUGCACAUAUUUUUUUAUUUUUUUGGCUAAAUAAAAUAAACUAUAACGAAUAUAAAUAAUAUAAAUUUAAACCAGCAUUUUAUCCCCGACUUUGGCGUCGGUGAAUAAACCAAUAAAUUUUUAUUAUUUUUAUUCAUGCAUAUACAUAUUUUUUUCUAUUUUUUCCCUUUAUUUUGAUGCUUUUUCAAUGUAGUCCUUGGAUUUUAAUUUCACAAUUUGGACCCCAAACCUUAAUAUUUCAUCAAUUAAGCCCUUGAAUAAGUUAAUUCCAAGCUCAAUUAAAUCUAAAACUUGUCAAUUCUUCAAUUAAACCCUUGAUUGGAUUAAUUAAAUCAAUUACAAGCUUAAUUAAGUCUCAAAACUUAUCAAUUCUCCAAUUAAACCCUUGAUUGGAUUAAUUAAAUUAAUUUCAAGAUUAAUUUAGUCUCAAAAUUUAUCAACUCUCCAAUUAAACCCUUGAUUUGAUUAAUUAAACUAGUCAAGAAUUUAAUUAAAUCUUUAAACUUCUAAUCAUGUUACUUUAACCCAAAUUUUAAUUUAUUUUUUAUUUAUUUUAUUUUUACUUGAUUUUUAGUUUUUUUUUUCAGUAAAUAAAAUAAUAAAAUAAAAAAGUCAAAAAAUAAGUUAUGACAAGACACAUCGAUAAUGAUAAAUACUUUCAUGUGCAUGUUUUUCGCUUUCCAUUAACCAAUAAUUCUUCUCACCCGUGUUCACUUCUCCGACUUGCACAAGGUUUAGCUACUUUUUGUCAGAAACAGAUACUCUAGAUUCUUGUCCGUACCAUCUAGUUUUAGCCACCAACCAUUCUUCCAAACCGGUGGAAAAACAUUCCACACAUAAAUAUAUCAUUGAAAGCACAGACACGUAUAUAACCUCAAUCCACUAAACCCAUGUAAAAAUUCAACAUCCAAGUACUGUGUCAAUCUAAGAAGAUCCUUUUCUUUUCCCUAAACAAAAUAUUUAUAAUAAAUCUAAUCCAAACUCGAUUAUAUUAGUAUUGAAAAAAAUUAUAAGAAAGGCGAAUUAAUACAUAUUAUUUUUUAGCAUAUUUUAUCAAGCAUGUCUAUUUAACUUUGGCUUUAUAAUGCAACUUAAAAUUAAAGUUUAAAGUAUCCUGAUUUUAAUAUCAAAGUUAAACUAAAUUGUAUCAAUCAAUGUGUAAAUAAUUGAUCAAAAUAAAUCUUAAUCUUAGCAUAAAAAGACUUUUCAUUUGCAACAUAAAUCUAUAGAGAUUGAAAGUUGGCAAUGAAGCUGAUGGUCUAUGAAUUAGGACAUCCAAAUACCUGCAACAUACAGAUUUAGCUGUAGAGAGUUCUUUUCUCUUUUUUUACCCAUAAAUCUGACUAAUUACCGGCAAGCUAAAGAUAUUAUAUUUUCUAGUUUUUAAGCUCACGAAACCUUUUUAAAAUUUAUUUAUUUUCGAGUCAUAACACUUUUAUCAGGCUGUCCUACGACCUUGUGUCACCCCGGUUUUUGUAGUUAUUUGUCGGCGGACAUCCUUUGAUUCAAUGGUGAGUCACAUUUAAAGAUUUCAUAGUUUUAUCGAUGGAAUAAUUAUUUUGGUGUUACAUUCAGACUUUAUCAAUAAAUUUUUUAUUAACUAACUCAUCGACAGAAGUAUUCAUUAGCAUGUCUUUUAUAUCCCACAUUCUAUGGCUAAGUCUGUUGAUAAAAAAAAAAUUACCAAUGGUUUUACAGAUAAAAAAUGCAUGUCAAAAAAAUAAAUUUCUGUCUAAAAUAUACCGACGAAUAUAUUUCGUUGGUGAUAGUGGCAUAUACAGUAAUAUUUUUCAACUCUCGGUAAAGUGUUGACGGACUUUACCUGUAUAUGAUUGUGGCAUUUCCAGUAAAUAUUUUUUAUCCAUUUGUAAAGGCGCCGGUGAUUGUGGUAUUUUUAAUUAAUAUUUUGCAACUUUUUGUAAAAUACCGACGGAGACAUUCUGCCUGUAAAUCCAUCGGUUGGGUUUAAAAAAAUAAAAAAAAUUAUUUAGAAUAAAUAAUAUAAAAUUAUAUAAAUUAAUAGUAAAAAAGCAAUUAUGCAAAUAAAAUUUUAUUAAAAAUAAAAAAUACAAAAAUAAAGUUAAAUAAUAUUCAUUACAAAUUUAAUGUGUUUCUAAAAAAAUAUUAAACUAGAACAAUGACGAAGCUGGAGGAGGAGGAGGCUGGUUGUUGUAUAACCCAUAUGUGAUGUAAUGUUCAUGACCAUUUAGCGAAAUUGUUCAUAAUUCGCAAAGAGUUGCUCGUAUUUUUCGAUGAGAUGAGUCGUGUGGUGCUCUAAGGCCACGAACUUCUUAGAUUGGGUGCUCGAUACUGAUUGGGAGCUCCUAAAGGUUGAGACACAAUGGGUCGUCUGCAAGUUCUCGAUCGUAGUGUUGGAGAGUCCAUAAACCCGAUUUUUAUCGGGUCCACCGAACAAUCCUACCUCCAUCCACAAAUUUGAAUCGAAAUCCGGAUGGGUCAAAGGAUCGUCAUCAUAUCUCUCCCUCAAUCAGCUAUUAUAGGUCUCCUGAAAAUAAAUAAAUAGAUCAUCAUAUUCAAUUCAAUAAAAAUAAUAACUUACAAAAUAAAAUGGUUGAAUGAAUAUACCACAAAGUGUUGAGCGCAGUUGUCAACAAACUAUUGCACCUUUUUUUGGCGGUAUUCACUCUGCACGUGCGUCUCUACAAACAGUUCCAUUCGGCUUGGCUCACGUCCAAAAAACGUAGCAUGUGAGAAAAAAAUUAAUUAAGUAACAACAAAUUAAUUAACGAUAUAUUUCAUUUAAAUUAAUCUUACCAUAUGUUUCGCAUAUGCAACAAACGGAAUUGAGUCCCUAGUGUGCGUUGUCGCCGAACCAUGAAUUUGCCGAUUCUGGUUGCCAGCACCAGAUUGUGAGCAUCGUGUGAACCGCUCAGACGUCACGUGUUCAAUAUAUUGCAUCCAUAUAUCUCUCAGGAUGUAUAACAGUUUGAAAUCCCUCCAAACCACCACGUUGUUCCAGCUUUAGAGAUCGUUAUCUCUCGCUUUUUUUUUUGCCUUUUUUUAUGCUUCAUACCAAAAAUCACGCAACCUACUUCAAUAGUGACAAAUUAGAUUUUUAGACAUAAUUUUUUAAAAAAACAUAUUGUAUUGUUUUUGAUGUUAUCCAGUUGCCGUGUGAUUUUUCCACACCUUUCUCGCAACAUUGUCAAGUGCGUUGUCCCACUCGAAUUUAUGUUAUGUAUAAAUAAUUUAUUUAAAAUAAAAAUAAUAAUUUAUUUACAAUUAUAAUAAUAAUUUAUUAAAAAUAAGCUGAAAAUUAAAAAUUAACACCAACCUCAAAUUUGUCAAAUCGUGCAUCAAUAUAAGGUCUUCAUUCAGGAUGUUUGGAAACUCAACUCCAUUGAAAUAAUAAAAUUUUUAUCAACGAUUUAAAUGCCGAUGAUAUUAUUCGGGUGGCCUCAAUAUUUAUAAACCUAAAAAUAAAUUAAAUUAAGUAAAUUGCUAAACCCAACAUGCAUGUAGAAACAUCGACAGCACAAGUACUCUGUCGUGAAGAUUGUUUUCUUUUAGCUAAACUAAAUAUUGAUAAUAAAGUUACGUAUUUUACAUAUUAUUUUUAUAUAAAUAUAUAUUUAGUAUAUUUUAACACGCAUGUCUAUUUAAGUUUGGCUUGUGAUGCCAACUUAAAAAGCUUUAAGUAUUUUCAUAAUCUAAUUUUAAAUUUUUUCAAAAAUGAAAAAGAAAAAAGAAAAAAGAAAAGUAAAAAAGAAAAAGAAAAAUAAUACUCUAAAUUAAUCAGAUAUAUAAUGAAUAAUUUAAGGUUUUAUUGAAGAAAUAUUGGAAAAUGAAGUUAACAACAGUUAAGUGGUCACAUUACUGCUUUUCUUUCCUCUCUGUAAAUUAAUUGAGAUUUAGACCUCGUUUGUUUGAUGGAAAGUACUUUUUUAAAGUGAAUUUUGAAAAAGUGAAUUAUGGAAAAGUGAAUUAUUUUUCGAUGUUUAGUAGUGGAAUGAAAAAUAAGUUGGAAAAUAUUUUCUAGUAUUUGGUUAUGUCAUAGAAAAUGAGCUGUAAAAUAACUUAUUAAUAUUUUAUUUUUUUCAAAUUUAUUAAAAUAACGAGAAACAAAUCUUACAAAUUAAAAAGUUGAAUGAGAAUGAAAUUAAAAAUAUAUAUAAUUUCAUAAAUUAUCUCAAAUAAAACAAAUAAUAAUAAAAAUAAUAGAGAUCAAAUCUAAAAAAAUAAAGAAAUUAAAAGAUAAAGAAAUUAAAAUAAUAAUAAUUAUCAUUUUAUAAAUUAUUUCAAAUAAAAUAAGUAAUAAUCAAAAGAAUGAAGACCAAAUUUAAUAGAUAAAAAAUUUCAAUUAAAAAAUAAUAAGGAAAAAACAAAUAAUAAUUAUAAAAAUGAAGACCAAGUUAAUAUAAAAGUCAAAUUCUAAGGGAUAAAAUUAAAAAAACAAUAUUCAAAACAAAAUAUAUAUAACAAUUUAAGGUUUGAGGAUCAAAUUUGAUAUAAUCAAUAAAUAAUAUGAUAUUUUUAAAAUUUUAACAACUUUCAAAAAAUACUUUUCAUCCAAAAUAAAAAAAAAUACUUUCCUGAAAAUCAAGUUAAUUUUUUCUUUGACUAGAUAGUAAUUUUUGUUCAUAAACUUUUCUAAUGAAAAACUAACAAAAAUAAAUUUAAAAAAUAAUUUACAAAAAAAACCAUUUUUUACCGAGUUGUGACCACUUUCUACCGGGAUGUGUCAAGUCCAUUCAUUUGGGACGAAAAUGACACCUGUGACAUCAUGAUACAGCGAAUCUAAUUGCAAAGAGCACAUCUAAACCCAUCUUUUUAAAGAGUACAUACCCCCUCUUGCUCCGUUACACUGUGAUCAGCCAGCUCGAACUCUCCAGUCUGCACUCUUAACUCACAAUUCACCGAAAGCAAACUAUCUCAUAUCAUCCUUAACUCUCCCCUACCCAUUUAGCUCUAUCAUGGCCACCGUGAUUAUACGUAAACGACUCACUCCCACAGACAUCAAAUCUUGUCUGUCUUAUCCCGCUCGUACACUCUGGGCAUUUCCGAUGGUCGAGGGUCAAACGGCUAUUUGGUUUCAAGCAAGAGAUCCCACCGGGAAAGUUUGGAACUUUGAGCUCUCUAAACGGCCUCAUGGCUAUCUAAAACCCGUCAUCAGAGGUGACUGGUUGAACUACGUCCGUGAGAAGGGCCUUACAGUUAGAGAUGUUAUCGUCCUAACAAGGGAACAAGAUAUUCAGUAUGAAGUAACCUUCCACAUCAAAGUUGAACCAGAUUUGAGACUCACCUUGAAGACAUUUAAUUCUUCGGCUUAUGAGGUGAUCACCUUACUCUUGAUGUGUCAUUUAUGCUUUGCUUCUUUCGAUCUGGUUUCAGAUCCCCUAGAGAGUCUUCAACUUCUAGGUUUGGUUUAGUCUUGGGUUUAUUUAUUAUAAUCUUUGACGGCAUGAUACUAUAAUCGAUAUAGUUAUACACUCACAUAAGUUGAGUCUACUCAGUGUUCGAGUCUACUCUACUUCUGCCUUUCUUGGUCUCUAGCAGUUCUCUCAGCCAUUGAAUCUCUCUCUCUCUCUCUCUCUCGCUCUCUCCCUCCCUCCCUCCCUCCCUCGCUCCCUCCCCCCCCCCUAUGGAACUUUUCCUGAAGUUUUUGCUGAUUUUUUUGGUUUGUGCUAAAAAGAAAUAAAAAAGAUACAGCCUUUUGGAUGUCAAGUCUGAUAAGUUGUUAGAGUUGUGGAUUGUGAUCUCUUUGUUCAGCUUUAGAAUUAGCAUAAAUUUCAUGGAUUUGACCAAGAUAAAAGCUUUGACUGGAGUCUCUUUUGUUCUCUUGAGUUUAUUGGGAUGCUGGAGAAGACAAUUGAUGAUGGCUAAAGAUACCAUGAGGGUGGAAACUCUGAGCUAUAGUAAUUGAGUCUCUUAAUGAUUUGAUUUUUUAGUGCAUUUUCUUGAGUUCUUGUUUGUGCUAUAAAAAAAUAUACCUCUUGAUUCCUACAUAGCUAUGCAUGUCAUUCCUACAACGACUAACACAGACUCUGACCAGACCCCUUUUUUAUACGAAAUGGUGUAAAAGUAAAACAAUUGACUGAAAGAUUUUGUCGUAAGAAAAAAUCAAUUCAGCCAUUUGGGUGCAUAUUCAGAUAAGUUGAUAGAAUUGUGAUCUCCAAUCUCUCUGUUGAUAUUGAGCCUUUGAAUUAGCACAGCCAUAAAUUUCAUGAAUUUGACAAAGAUAAAAGUUUUGACUAAUUGAUUCUUUUCUGUUCUUAUUCAGAUGCUGGAGAAAAAAAUUGAUGAUGGCUCAAGAUACCUGGAGGGUUAAAGAUGCAGAAUACAAGUAGGCGUGCAGGGUAUGCAGUUGAGACAACUUAGGGGAAAAGCUUUUGCAUUUUGCAUUUUUUGUAUCAACUGUUUUUUAUUAGUUGAAGGGCAUGCCAUGUGCGAACGAUAAUGUCUGUAUACCCCAAUACCUGGAGGGUUACUUUUUUUUAUCUGCUUAUGGGUCUUUAUAUGGAUAGCAUCUACUAUAUGUGCAUGAGGAAUUGUGAAAAUUGUGUAAAUCGCUGCAUAAUGUUAGUUUUUUUAUUAGCUUUGAGAUAUAUAAUCGUUAUCUUGAAGCAAAAACGUUAGACUGUCCGAUUUUUCUUUUUUCGUUGCAUCAUUGACGAUUUGAGUAUGAACUGAGUAAUCCAUAGCGUUUAAAUCAAAUAUUGAUAUAAAACAUUAAAAAAUAAUUUUGAAAUAACCACGGAAUAAACGGUGACUAAGGUUUUUUCUUUUAACAACAACAAUUAAAACAACAAUUAAAUUAAGUUCUCUAUAGAGAUGAUGAAGGAGAACAAAUUAUGAUGAAUGAUGAAUGAUGAGAGGCGUCGACGUGUAUAAAAGGAAAUUGCGACUCGAAAGAACUAGCCUACUGAAUUUUUAAGUCAUGUCGGCUUGGUGCGCCAUGCAGAUGCAAUAUUUGACUUGUUUGCCCCCAUGGGCAUAAUGUUAAGGGUUCUAUUUCUCUUCUGUUAUAGGUUGUGUGUUAGUGCCACUGGCGGAGCCUCAGGGGGGAUUGCCCCCUUAAAUGUUUUUGAAUAAUAGAUAUUAAUUUAAUUGUUUUGAAUUAAUUAAAAUUUAUAUUAUUUUUAAUUGAAUUAAUAAAAAUAUGAAAUUAAUUUUUUUUAUGAGAUCGAUGAAUAAGCAAAUAUUUUAAUUAUUGUCAGUGAAUAAAAAUUAAUAUUUACAAAAUAAAAGGUUGGUUUAAAAAAAAACUAUUUUUUUGUUUUUAAAAAUGAUUUAUCAUGAUAAAUUUAAACUAUCAAUGUUGAUCCAUAUCUAUGCAUUAUAUACAACAUGUUAUAUGGUAAUGAGUGUGUGAAAUGAGUUGUGAUGAAUUAAUGUGUAUUUUAUCAUGAAUUUCAUAUAAAAAAUUUAUAAUUAUUAUGUAACUGAACUUAAUUUUGUUAUUAUGAAAACUUAAAGAGAAUGAUUAUAAUGUAAGUUUUUUUAUGUUAAAAGUAUUUUUAAAUUAAUUAUGCUUUAUAUGAGUUGGUAUAUUUAUUUCAAAUUAAUUUUCAAUACAUAUCUAUAUAAUAUAUUUGCCCCUUCAUUUAAAUACCUAACUUAGUGGUAGAGGUUUAUAUGUUUUUUACUUAUAAAUAUAAAAGCUUUGACUAAUUCAAUGGUCUCCAAAAUCAUAUCCCCCUCAUGCUUGAUUGUUUUUUAUUUUCCUUUUUUUAUUUAUUAUAUGGUACUAUUCAUCACAAAAAUUCAUAAUUCUUGUUCAGAUUAUCAGAAAAUACUAAAAAUUUACACGGAGCCUUCUAAUAUAAUGCUUUAGCUUGAGUUAAAAUUUUAGAAGUUUUGGAGAAAUUCAAAAAUUUGACGAAAAAUCAUAAUUUAACCAGUUUUACGUUAUUGGACGUAAUUUUCAAUUCAACUAUCAGAUUGAGCUGAAAUUCUUUGAGGGAUAUUUAAAUAUAUUGAAUAAAAUCUUAUUAAAAUUUUAGAAUGAAAGGAGCUUGGUAGUGCUAACAAAGAAAAAUGACCGUCAAAUAGAAGCAAAAAGACUCAUUAAGGGUAAAAUGGUUAUUUGCUAUUAAAAAAUAAAACAAAUAAGCUCCUCCUUUUAUAUGCUGCCGACUGGGCAGAAGCAGAAUAGAAAAAGAAAGAAAAGAGAAAGAUAGAAAAGUAAGGAAAAAACAUAGGAAAAAACAAUCUAAGGAAAAAAAAAAGAAGUAAGAAAAUAACCUCGUAAACUUACAAAGUCCAACUUAUAAAACACUAAUCUAAGAAAGAAUCAAGUAAAUGAAGAAGGGAUUGAGAGAGAGAGAAAAAUUAAUUACUUUAUUCUCCAAUUGACAUUAGAUUAUUAUUUUAUCCCGGUUGAGAAGUUAUUACAAUAUCAAUUUAGAUUCAAUUAUAAAUGAAUUUUAUUCAAUAAAAUAUCAAAAGAUGUAACUUUGAUAGUAAAUUUAUUUUUACUUUCACUUCAACUUUAAAUUUAUUUUUUAAUAUUUUGAAUAAUAUAUUUGAAUUAAGAUUUUAUUGAUAACUUCUCAAAUUUAUAUACAUGAGUUAAUAAUAUAUAUAUAUAUAUAUAUAAUAACUCAAAACAGAAAAAAUUCCUGGCUCUUCGUUGCCUCCAUCCAUGCAAGAAUCCAAGCUUCCAGAACAAGCGUUUCUCUGGGAAUGCAUGUUUUUAACCCAUUUCCUACUUUCCCAUUCUUGAUAUUCUACUUAAAAUAAAACUUGGCUAUUAUUAUUUUUAUAUUUAUAUGUAAUUGAAUUUUAAUCUGUUUUUUUUUAAUUAAAAGUUGAUUAUUUUAUUGAAUUUAAUAUCAUAAAUAUUAAAUGAUGUUCGAGUUCUAAUUCUUCACAUGUGCAUAAAAGUUUUAAUUUAUUAUAAUUUUAAAUUAUAAAAAUACAUUGAAAUAACUUAUAUAUAUAAAUUUUUGUGAAAAAUAAAAAUAUUUAAUUCGUGAUAGAGUAUGAACCACAUAGCUAGUAGUAACUAAAUGGUGGGAUCUAACUUAAAAUGCCAUGCACAUGGUAUAACGGAAAUUGCGACACGAAAGAGCUAGACACUGCAUUGAUCCUGUCAAGUCAUGUCGGCUUGGUGCCAUGCACAUGUUGAGGCUCUCUAGCUGGAUUUAUUUGAAUUUUUUUGUCUCCAUAGCCAUAGCCCAUAGGCAUGACGCAUAGAUUUCAAAACAAAUCAGCUUUUCUCAAAUGGCACUGAUAGAUUUCAAAACGGUUCGAACUCAAACCCUUUAUCGCUACAAUGAUAUAAACUAAAUUCUCACUACUUAGUUUAAAGUAGCAGUGGGAAUAGAAGGGACGCUGCUAUUACUAUAAAUAAAUGUCAACUAAAUCAAAUUAUAUUUAAGGAAGAACUUCAAUUUAAGCCCUAAUUUAUAAGUGGAGGAAAAUUUACUAAAACUAUUUUUUUUAGUAUAGGUUGAAAUAUAUUUCGACAUCUUUGAUUCUAAUUUAUUAGGCCUAAGAGUGAGAAAAAAACUGAAUAACCGAUUAAAUCGAGAAUAUUAAAAAAAAAUAAUUGAAAAAAUCAAACCGAAAAAAAUCUGAAUUAACUGAUUAAAAAAUCAUAAAAAAUUUAUUGUUCAGUUUGAUUUUGGUUUCGGUUUCUAAAGUUUGAAACCGAUUAAACCAAAUCAAACAAAACCAGUUCAAUCAGGCCAGCACUAAAAAAAAAAAACAAAUAUAAAUAGUAUAUUUUUUCUAAUUCUAAAUCUAAAUGCAUUUUUAACAACCCCUUCUUGCUGCUCUCAGUCUCUCAUCUCUUAAAUCUAUCUCUUCUCCUUCAUGCAUUCUCAGUCCUGUGUCAAUUUGGGUCUCUUUCUCUUCUCUAAAGGUCGGGUAAUGGAUUUUUCUGGGCUUCUUAAAUUUUGCUUAUUCUUGUCUAAUCUCUUUGAGUAUUUCUCUCUCUAAGUAUUUCACUUCUGUUGCAUGGGUUUGCUCUUCUUCUUUUUUCUUAUUUAGUUGGUUCAUAUUUACGGAUGAUAAUGUUGCUUUUUGUGAUUUAGAUUUUGGGUUUGUUACAUAAUGAUUUUUUAAAACAAUAUAUUUUUUUAAAUUAUCUAUGUUGAUUUUAUUUUUUUAAUAUUGAGUUUAUUGAGAAUUUAGCUUUAUAAUUUUUUUUUUAUUUAAAAUACUUUGAAUUGUUGCAGUGUUUUUCCAUAUGAAUUUUUUAUGAUUUUUUCUAAAAUUAUCUUUGUCGAUUUUAUUGGAGAAAUCACUAUAGUUUUCCUCACAAAACAUUGUCAAUUGCUACAAUGUUCUUUCUCAUGGGUUUUUUUUCCUUCUAAAAUUAUCUUUAUUGGUUUUUUUUUAAUAUUAAAUUGGUUGAGAAUUUAGCUUUGUAAUUUUUUUUAUUUUUAUUAACAGAAAAGCUAAAUCAUAUGGCGAAAGCACUGUAUCUUUCAUCACAAAACACUAUGAAUUACUACAAAUUAUUUUGUUCAAUCUCUAAGUGUUUGAUCACGUACCAACAUAACUUUUUUUUCCGUAAAAAAAUAUUAACUCCAUCAUAUUUUUAGUUUUCAUUAUUUUUUUAGUAUUGAUUCAUAAUUACAACACUAUUAAAUACAUUUGUUUUAUAAACUCACAGCAGCCCGUGUACAUGCUAUCUCGUUUCUUUUAGAUUUUGUAGGGUCCCCAUGUGGGUCUCAAUACAAAAUUCCAAAACGAGAAUAAUGUACGAAAAGUGAGGUUAGAUGGAGAGGAAGAUCAUUGAAAUCUGGGAUAAAAGACAUGUAUUUGCUCCACCUGAUAUAAAAUCAGCCACACCUGAGGAGGACACCACAAUAUCUAUUUAGACCCCGUUUGUUUGCUGAAAAGUAUUUUUUUUUUGAAAAGUGAAUUUCGAGAAAGUAAAUUAUUUUUUGAUGUGUUGGUAGUGUAAUGAAAAAUAAGUUGGAAAACACUUUUCAAUGUUUGGUUGUGUCAUAGAAAAUAAGCUGGAAAAUAACUUAUUUAUGUUUUUUUUUCAAGUUUAUUAAAAUAAUGAGGAACAAAUCUUACAAAUUAAAAAGUUGAAUGAGAAUGAAAUUGAAAAAAAAAAUAUAAUUUUAUAAAUUAUCUCAAAUAAAAUAAAUAAUAAUCAAAAUAAUAGAGAUCAAAUCUAAAAAACAAAAAAAAUAAAAGAUGAAGAAAUUAAAAUAAUAAUAAUUAACAUUUCAUAAAUUAUUUCAAAUAAAAUAAGCAACAAUCAAAAGAAUGAGGGCCAAAUUUGAUAGAUAAAAUUUUUUAAUAAAAAAAUAAUAAAAGAAAAACAAAUAAUAAUUAUAAAAUAAGGACCAAAGUUAAUAUAAAAAUUAAAUUUUAAGAGAUGAAAUUGAAAAUAAAUAUUAAAAAAAAAAAAUAUAUAUAUAUAUAUAUAUAUAGCAAUCAAAAGUUUUAGGACCAAAUUUGAUAUAAUCAACAAAUAAUAUUAUUUUUCUAAAUUUUUCACAACUUCCAGAAAAUGUUUUCCGCCUAAAUUUUCCAGGAAAACACUUUCCUGGAAACCAAGCUAAAUUUUUCUUUGACUGGAAAAUGUUUUCCGUUUACUAACUUUUCUAAUAGCAAACAAAUACAAAAAAAAUUUGAAAAACUGGAAAAUGUUUCCGUUGACCAACUUUUUUAAUGACAAACAAAUACAUAAAAGUUUUAAAAGUGAUUUCCAGGAAACCACUUUAUGAAAACACAAACAUAGUCUUAGUAAUUUAUUACAUGGAUGAACAAGUAAUGUUGUUCAUAAUAUCGUAAUCAUUUUUUUUUUAUGAUCAACUACAUUAAAAAAAAUCCAAUGAAAACCAUAAUAAAAGACUUGUGCUUCUUUAAAAGAAUAGAAAAAAGAUUAUGUAUUAUUAGAAACGGAUGAGUGUAGAAAUACAUUAAAAUGAAAGAAUAAAGUACAAAAUAAAAAAUAUAUAUGAUGUGUUAAUAGUUUAAUGCACACAGAAACUACAAAAGUACAUAAUUUUUUUUAUGUGGGAUAAUCCUAACAAUCUUUGUCUCACACAACAAUUUUUUUCACACGCAUCAUGUUUUGGAACGGAGCCAUGACAAUUCUUUUCGUCUCAUCGAAUCUCACCGAUGUUCACUUCUCCAGCAUGCGCAAGGUGCAAUCAUCAGCAUUUAAUUUGUUAGCAUUAUUAUAAGGUGAUUUUGUACCUAUCCUCCUUUCAUGUGGGAUAAUCCUAGCAAUCUUUGUCCCACACAACAAUUUUUGACGAUUAAAGUGAAUAGGUUUGCACGUGAUCACAAAUAAAAAACAAAAAGCAACAAUCUUUUCGUUGUCAUUUGUUUCUUCUCAUCAGAAGUGAUGUCAGAAGAACAAUCAUGACACAAAAAAUACAAAAAAAAAUUAAUGAGAAAAAAGAUUUGUAAAUAUGAAUUUUAAAUUUGCUAUUUAUUUUCUGAAAACAAAACUAAUAAAGUUUAUUUUCUUAAAAAGUUUAUAAGAUCGUUAAGAAGAUGUUUAGAAAUGUUAUAAUAAUUAUUUUUUUUUAUAUUUUUUUAUUUAAAAAUAUAUUAAAAUAAUAUAUAUAUAUAUAUUUUUAAAAAUUAUAAUCUUAAUCAAACAAUGGGGUCGUUACUUUAAUCAUUACUUAAUUAUAAUCUUUAAUCUUUAAUCUUUAAUCAUUAUAACACUAAUCAUAAUCUUUAAUCAAACAAUGGGGUCGUUACUUUAAUCAUUACUUAACAAUGGAUCACAUGAAACCGUAUGGGAAUGUGGUUAAAACUAUAUUCCUAAUAAAUUUUUUUUUUUUUUUGUUAAAAUUUAAUAUGGUUUAUAUGUUUUGGAUUGUUUUAAUGUAUUAAUAUUAAAAUAGUUUAAAAAAUUUUUAAAAAACAUUAUUAAUAUAUAUUUUAAUAUAAAAAAAUUAUUUAAAAAAUAAUUAAUACUGACAAACACUUCAAGUUAAAGUUAAAAAUAUCAAGUGGCUGGAUCAUAAAUCCUUAAUUUAUGCAAAUCUAUUGACUGAUCUAAAAGAUGCAAGGUAAUCAGUGGGUUUUUUUGUUAUUUCAAAUUCAUCAUCUUUUUAUUGGAAAACGUGGCGAUCUUCUAAUCCUUGAUCAUUUCUAUUAAUUGCUCUUGUAUUCUUUCCACAAACUUAAAGUUGGGGAUACAUUUCGUGGCGAUCUUCUAAACCUUUAUCUGUUUGUCGUUCUUUUCACAUUCAUUCCUAUUUAUUGCUCUUUUCUACUUGACGCGACUUAAUUCCUUCAUUCGAGAAAAAGCAAAUCAUGAAAGAUAAAAGUGCUUGCACCGACGGUGCAAAAUUAUAAUAAAAAAAACCAAGUUGCGGUCAUGCUAGUAAAAAUAGCACUUGUAAUUUCAAUCACACCAAGCAAUUACACACACACACACACACACUUACUUAAGAGUAAAGUCUUUUCUCAAAAUUCAGGGUUCUUAACAUAAGAAGAUUGAUAAAUUAGAGCACCUAAUGAUAAAAUCUCGCUUAUUCCAUAACUUUGAAUACAAAUUUGAUAAAUCAAUUUAAAUUAAGUGAAUUAGAGGACAUAAUGAUCUAUAUCAAAGUACACUAGGCUGCUAUACCUGAUAAAAGGAGAGAUCAUAAUUUGUGAACGUUUUAACCUGCUACUUUUUUCAAAUAAAUUCAGCAUUAGAGAACAAAAAAGCAAUAAAUAGAAAUGAAUGUGAAAAGAGCAACAAAUAGAUAAAGGAUUAGAAGAUUGCCACGUUUUCCAAUAAAAAAGAUAAAUGAAGAAAACAAUAAUCCAAAAUGCCUAUUUUAAGUUUGUAGAAGCUCCUGAGUUCUUGUUACUCUAUUUUAUCUUCACCAUCUCACCUAUCUCUUGCCGCCUUCAAAUAAAAAUUGUAGUUUAUUAUAUGUUGUUGACUUUCCUUUCCAUUAUAUAUCAUUUUUUAAUGGAUGGUAAUUCCUUUUUCUGCCUUAAUUAAUCAAUAUUUAUCAACAUAUUUGGAGUAAUUUAUUUAAUAGGAAAAUCAGGUUCAGAAAAAACUAACUUAUUUUAAACUAAACAAAUUUCAUUACAUCAAAUUAAAAGGGCUGGGGAAUAUUGGCUCAAGGAGACUGUUUCAAGUUAUAUUGUCUGGUAAUACGGUUUAAUCUAUUUUUAAAUCGUUUUUCAAGUGUUUUUUUUUUUUGUAUGAUUUCUUCUGCAAAAGCAAGAACCUAGAAAUCCAAAACAAAAUAGCGAGAAAUUCAUAAUUCCAAUAGAAAAACUCCAUUUUUUUUAUUAUGACUUCAAUCUUUAUAAAGAAGUAGAGCAAAACAACCUUGUAUUAAUAAGAAGCACUGUCCUAAUGACAUAAUUAACUGACUUCUAUUCGACCGCAAACAUAGGUGAUACUUGAUAGCAUCAAGUGUUUUUUUUUUCAUAGGCAAUAGAAUGCAUGAAAACACCUAAUAAUAGACAUACAAGAGAACCGGAAUAAAUCUGCAGAGACCAAGAAUCUUCAGAAGACAGAGAACCAGCUGACUUAUAAUCAAGAAACCAAAAUCGAAACCAUGCCAUUGUUUCUUCAAUGCAAGAAAACUCCACCUUGAUUGUAUCAUUAAGGACCGCAGUAGUAGCUAGCAGCUUCUGAAAAAACAAAAGUCCUGCCCAUGCAUGAUUGACAGAGAGAGAGGAAGAGAGAGCUGCUCAAUCUAAGGCUACAAUUUUUAUUUCAUUUAUACAAGUUUUCUGUACAUUGAUUCAUUUACAUACUGAGUUCAGCUUUCAAAACUCACUUAAUAAGAUAAUUCUGGGCAAUCCGUAAAUUGAUAAUAGGGAUGACAAUGUAGUUAACGUUGCAGUAACAAGAAACAGUUCAAAUCAUUUCGAUCCAUAACGUCCUAUUCAAGCUCUGCAAGCUGUUCCAAUCCUUAUCGUCCAGCUAAAACCGUCACUUGACUUUACAGACCUGAUAUUGUUAAAAGCACACCAUAAUGAUCACUAGGCAAGACAGGAAGCUUCAACAUCUUUACCUCUCUUCUCACUUUCUUCUCCUUGAUAUAUGAUAACCCAGGUAUUGCCUCCUUACCAAUCAUGCCAAUUUUAAUGAUCUUGAAAUCACGCAGACUGCAUAUGAAUCGAUCCAGUCUCUUUUGCAAUGGAAAAUUGCCGGACAACAUUUGGUUGGAUUUGGUAUCAUAUGUCCAUCCAUCAUCCCCUAGCUUCAACUCUACCCAGGCAUCAACCCAUCCAUCAGGGAAAGGAAACUGACCAUCCAACUUAUCGUCCCAGUUCAUGUCACCACAAAAAAUCACAUUUGAGUUCUUCUUGAGAAGGUUGAUUGCCUCCUUUGCCUGAUCCACGCCUUCCUUGCUGAACAUCUGAUCCCAUUUUGGAGGUGCUGGACAAGGACUCUCUAGAUGGCUUGUGGCAACAACUAAUGACUUUUUUCCUGGAACUUCAAGCUCAGCAAUGCAAAGUUUUCUCCCCAUUAUUGAAUUCAUAAAGGGUUUAGUGCUGAAAGAUUUUACUGGUAGUUUGCU